rnacentral:rRNA from 1 species
UAAGCGGAGGAAAAGAAACUAACAAGGAUUCCCCUAGUAACUGCGAGUGAAGCGGGAGAAGCUCAAAUUUAAAAUCUGGCGGUCUUUGGCCGUCCGAGUUGUAAUUUAGAGAAGCGUCUUCCGCGCCGACCGUGCACAAGUCUCCUGGAAUGGAGCGUCAUAGAGGGUGAGAAUCCCGUCUUUGGCACGGAUGCCCGGUGCUUCUGUGAUGCGCUCUCGAAGAGUCGAGUUGUUUGGGAAUGCAGCUCAAAAUGGGUGGUGAACUCCAUCUAAAGCUAAAUAUUGGCGAGAGACCGAUAGCGAACAAGUACCGUGAGGGAAAGAUGAAAAGCACUUUGGAAAGAGAGUGAAACAGUACGUGAAAUUGUUGAAAGGGAAACGCUUGAAGUCAGUCGCGUCGACCGAGACUCAGCCUUGCCUCGGCUUGGUGCACUUCUCGGCCCGACGGGUCAGCGUCAAUUUUGCUCCUCGGAUAAUGGCAAGGGAAAGGUGGCACCUUUACGGGUGUGUUAUAGUCUCCUGUCGCAUGCGAGGGUUGGGAUUGAGGAGCUCAGCGCGCACCUUGGUGUCGGGGCUUCGGCCCACGUCACGCGCUUAGGAUGCUGGCGUAAUGGCUUUAAACGACC